rnacentral:rRNA from 1 species
UGCCAGCAGCCGCGGUAAGACGGAGGGUGCAAGCGUUGCUCGGAUUUACUGGGCGUAAAGAGCACGUAGGCGGUUUGGUAAGUUUGAUGUGAAAGCCCACGACUCAAUCGUGGAAGUGCAUUGAAUACUGCUAGACUAGAGUGCAGGAGGGGUAAGCGGAAUUCCAGGUGUAGAGGUGAAAUUCGUAGAUAUCUGGAGGAACAACGGCGGCGAAGGCGGCUUACUGGACUGAUACUGACGCUGAGGUGCGAAAGUGUGGGGAGCGAACAGGAUUAGAUA